CGGGGUGCACCAGGCGCGAAAACUUUGCAAUGCGGGAAACCGUGACAAGGGAACUCUGAGUGCCCGUAAAAUCGGGCUGUCCAUCGGUUUAAAAAACCGGUGAAGAAAGGGCCGGGCAAGACCGGUGCCAGCCGCCGCGGUAAUACCGGCGGCUCGAGUGGUGGCCACUAUUACUGGGCUUAAAGCGUUCGUAGCUGGUUUGUUAAGUCUCUGGGGAAAUCUUCCGGCUUAACCGGAAGGCGUCUCAGGGAUACUGGCAGACUAGGGACCGGGAGAGGUGAGAGGUACUCCAGGGGUAGGAGUGAAAUCCUGUAAUCCUUGGGGGACCACCUGUGGCGAAGGCGUCUCACCAGAACGGCUCCGACAGUGAGGGACGAAAGCUGGGGGAGCAAACCGGAUUAGAUACCCGGGUAGUCCCAGCUGUAAACGAUGCGCGUUAGGUGUAUCAGCGACCACGAGUCGCUGAGGUGCCGAAGAGAAAUCGUGAAACGUGCCGCCUGGGAAGUACGGUCGCAAGGCUGAAACUUAAAGGAAUUGGCGGGGGAGCACAAGGGCGAUUCGCG
rnacentral:rRNA from 1 species